rnacentral:rRNA from 1 species
CACGGGGGUUGCGAGCGUUGUCCGGAAUUACUAGGCGUAAAGGGCAGGCAGGCGGAUCCAUAAGUUUAUCGUUUAAGGCGUCGGCUUAACCGGCGUAGGGCGGUAGAUACUGUGGAUCUGGAAUGCGGUUGGGGAAGACAGAAUUCCUGGUGUAGCGGUGGAAUGCGCAGAGAUCAGGAGGAAUACCGAAGGCGAAGGCAGUCUUCCAAGCCGUUAUUGACGCUCAACUGCGAAGGUGUGGGUAUCAAACAGGAUUAGAUACCCGCGUAGUCCCUGAGCGGG